rnacentral:lncRNA from 1 species
CCCCUUCUGCGCGCUAUUUAGGAAGUUUUACGGUGCUUCAGAUAGCGUAAGCUAGCUAGCUAAUGGCGUUAGAUAGAAGAUAACUGGCACCGACUACAGUAUAGACAUGUUUCAAUAAACGUUUCACUUUAUUUUAAUCUAGCUUCGUUGAUUAAAAUAAUCACAACAGUUGUUCAAAAUGAAGGUAGAGUGUGAGAACACACAGGACAAAACAAAUGUAACUUGUCAUAGAGGAAGGGUCGGCUGUGCUGAAAAUGCAGAGGGAAUGGAGCCAGGAAUGUCAGAAGUUAUUGUUCAGCUUGAAGAUGAACAAUAUCUUUCGAGCCCAGAAACCUGCUCUUCUCCAGAAACCGACAUGUUUUUAUUCGCUCCUAUUUCAGACACUGAAGAAAGCGCUGACUAUGAUUCGGAUUCUUCAGGUGUUCCUACUGGUAAACAACAUUGUAUGCUUCGAAGUAACGUUGAAGGUAACAAGUUAAAAGAAUAUGCUGUGGAAAAUGGUGUGCUUCCCAGGACUGAUAGAAAACCAAGGCGUAAGAAAACAAAUAGUCCAUUACCAAAGGAAAGUAGUUCAUCAUCGUCAAAAGACCAGUCAAAGCGCCAUGGGAGGAAGAAGUCACCUCUAAAGAUGCAACCAUAUAAAUCAGACAAGUCAUUGCAAGACUGCAGAAUGUCUGGGGAGACAGCAGGCUGGAUACCUGCUCCCUACACUAAGACAGAGACUGCCAUCAGCCCACAAACAGCCAUGGAGCCUCCUGGCUUCCCCUCUGUACAGGCCAAGAUUGAGGAGCCAUUCUUUGACAAGAAAGACAAUGUUUUGCUGGAAGUGUUGAAAUAUUGCCAGGUAUAAUGUGUUUUAAACAGUUAACAUUUCAGUGAAGAUGUACAAGCAAGUUCUUUCUAAAUGUGGCUUGUGUGUAAAUAAAAAGGUUAGCACCCAGACCUAGGUACA